rnacentral:lncRNA from 1 species
CUCCCUAGCCUCUGUACUCCUCAGCCUGUGCUGACUUCUGGAACCUUGCAUCCUCCCCAUGGCACCAGCCACACACUCAGGAUGGUUGACUCCAACCUUGGGGGGGCUCUGAGCUCCCCAGGGCAGGGGCUCCAGGUCUUCUUUUUCUCACAAAAGAAGCCAGGAUAGGGCCUGGGAUUUAGCUCAGUGGUUCUGGCACCUGCCUCACAAGCGCAAGGUCCCGAGUUCGAUCCCUGGUAUCAAAGAAAGAAGCCGGCUUAGCUCACCUCCCUGCAUGUCUGUCCCCACGGCACGUGCUGUUCCUCUGGCGGCUGGAGUUACCUGGGGACUGGGGCUCACGCUUUCCAGGGUCUCAUAGUAGCAGGGGUCUGGCAGUAUGGCUGGAGCAGUCGGAUGUGAUGGCCGAGUGAGGAGACUCACUAACCACAGAUGGAGAAUGGCAGCACCCAAGCCUGACUCGGGACCAAGCUGAACCCUGUACCCAGCACCAGUGAGAACAUGAAGAACCUGGCACGUGAUAUCAGUCUUCUAGCACGAGGCCAGUGUGACCUCCGGGGUCAGCUGUGGAGACACAGAAGGGCGGCAGUGACUGAGCUGUGGCCACCGACCUCUUGCUCUUGCAGCAUCUGUUCUGUGUGCAGGACACACCCGCUCUUUUCCUUCAGAGCACCUUUUCUCCCUGAGCACUUCUGUGCUUCUCCCUUUAUUCCUGCCCUAAAUAAAUGGU